UACGGAGGGUGCAAGCGUUGUUCGGAAUCACUGGGCGUAAAGCGCGUGUAGGCGGCUUGCUAAGUCCGAUGUGAAAUCCCGGGGCUCACCCCCGGAAGUGCAUCGGAUACUGGUAGGCUAGAGUACCGGAGAGGAAGACGGAAUUCCUGGUGUAGCGGUGAAAUGCGUAGAUAUCAGGAGGAACACCGGUGGCGAAGGCGGUCUUCUGGACGGAUACUGACGCUGAGACGCGAAAGCGUGGGGAGCAAACAGG
rnacentral:rRNA from 1 species